rnacentral:rRNA from 1 species
AAAUUAAUAAAAAAUUGAAUAAUGUUAUGAUGUACAGAUUUGAAAAGUGUUGUAUGACAUUAACGGGUUAUUCAAGGAAUAUAUUGCUAUUAAUAAAUAAGGUUAAUAAUAAUAUAAAAUAUAUAUAUAUUGAUAUAUAUAUAUUGAUAUAUUUAAUACCUAAGGGAAACCAUAAUAAUAAACGUGAAGAACUGAAUCAUCUAAGUAUUCAUAGGAAAAGAAAUCAAAAGAGAUAUUAUGAGUAAUGGCGAGUGAAAGUAAUAAAGUCGUUAGUAAAAAUAAGUAUUAUUUUAUCAAGAAAGUAAGAAAAUAGAUAACUAAAUCUAAGACUAAAUAUUAUUAAUAAGCAUAAAAAGUACCGAAAGGGAAAAUAUGAAAUGGAUAAUCUAUAAGCAACAUGAGAUUUAUUAAAAUAGAUUUAAUGUGUACCUUUUGCAUAAUGGGCCAGCAAGUAAUGUAAUUUAGCAAAAUAUAUUAUAUUAUAUAUAAAUAGAAUAUAUAAUGAUAAAUUAAUUUAUUGAAAAAUGUUAAUAAGUUAAAUUACAUUGGCCCGAAAAUAAAAGAUCUUAUUAUUACAAGAUAUAUAAUUAAUGAAAAUUAAUUUAUUGAUCGAAUGGGUUAAUGUUGCAGUAUUAUCCAAUUAGUGAUGAUAAGUAAGUGAAAGACUAACCUGUUUUAUAGAUAGCUGGUUCUCUGUGAAAUAUAUGUUAGUAUAGCGAUUUAAUAAAAUAAUUAUAAGGUAUAGCACUUAAUAUUUUAAUUAUCAUUAAUUUAUUAAUGAUAAAUGGGGGUUAAUAAUUAACUUAUCAUGUAUAUUUAAUCUCAUAAUAUUAUAAUUAUAAAUUAAAUUAGUCAGACUAUAUGCGAUAAGGUUUAUAGUCGAAAGGGAAACAGCCCUAAAUUACAUUUAAGGUUCCAAAAUAUGGAUUAAGUGAAUAAAAUGUAUUAAUUGUCAUAAUCAAUUAGUUGGUGGGUUUGACAAUAACUAUCCUAUAAUGAACAUGUAACAAUGCACUAAUAUUUAUUUCCGUAUUACGGAUUUCGAUAAUUAAUACAGAUAAUAUACGGAUCUCGUAAAUCCAUUACCGAUAAUGAAUAUAUUAAUAUAUUCUUCCGUGUCGGAUGCCACUCGCGUCGCCCUCGGACUAAAUAAAUAUAUUAAUAUGGUAACAGAGCAUAUAAUAAACUUUAUAUAAUAAUUAGAUUAAUUAUUAUAUUAUAUAAUUAUAAUAUAAUUAUAUACUUAAUAAAUAUAUAACUUUAAUUUAUUUUUAAAAUAAAUGUAUUGAAUAAAUAUUUAUUAUUAAUAGUUAAUUAUAUUGAUAAUGCUGGCAUGAGUAGCGAAAAAUAAGUAUAAUUUUUUAUAAAUUAUAUAAACUUAUUCACAUAAUACAUAUGGUUUUACUAUAAAUUCGGUCCUUAAGUUGGUUUACAGAUUUAGUAAACACGAUAGGUUUAAUUUAUUAUUAUAGAUAUAUAUUUAUUAUAUAUGGGCACUUAUUUAUUAAAAUAAAAUAGUAUUAUAAAGUGUACAAGAAAUAAAUAAUAAUAAGAACCGUAAUUAAGACCGACACAGGUGUGUAUAGUAGAGAAUAUGAAAGUGAAUGGAUGAAGUAUUCGGAAGGAACUCGGCAAAAAAUACCUCCACGUUUGUCAAUAAAGGGAAAUUAAAAAUAAGAUUAUACAACUGUUUACUAAAAACACAGCACAUUGCGGAUAUAAAAAUAUUAGUAUAAUGUGUGAAUUC